AGCAGGCCUCUGUUCAUGAGGUUAUAUUCAUAGUAUCGCUUUGAAGAAGCAGAUGGGUUCAGAUCUGUUCUCUAAGAGCAAGUCCAAUGCUAGAUGCUAUAUAUCUAUUGCUAUUGCUAUAAUAUAGCACCAAAAAGUGUUUUUUGGUGCUAAAAUAAAACUUGCACUCCAAUGCUAAGUUCUAUAACUAGUUUCAAAUUUAACCAACUCAUUAACUUUUACCUAACUUCUAUAUAGAACCAACUCAUUAACUUUUACCUAACUCAUUAACUAGUUUCCAAUUUCUAGUUAAUGAUGAUGUGGCAACAUGGAUGGAUUCAUCCUUGGUUUCAAAUAUAGAACCAAGGAUGCAUCUAAGCAUGGAUGCAUCCAAAUAUAGCACUCCUUUGGAGUUGAGUUUUUUUACUUUUGAUGCUAUAAUAUAGCAAUAGAACCAAGUAUAGCAUUGCAUUGGAGUUGCUCUAAUAAUAGCAGCAAGUGCUAUUAAAUUCCGAGAUGGAGGUUUCAGAUGAGAAGAUAAGAUUAGUCGGUAUAGGAUCGCUUGUCAUUUCGAUAUUAUUGUAAUCUGAAGAGGAUACAAAUCAUUUCCUCAUCAUUUGUCUAUCUGCUGCUCAAGGACAAAGCGUGACAUGGUUACUUUGAAUACUUGCUCCAACCCCUAAGAUGUCGGUUCAGUUAGUAUUGCCAGAGUAUGGACAAAGCAUUGAUGUUAUGGUCAAAUUUCACCACUUGAAAAUGAGAUCUGAUCUCUACUCGAAGAUAUUAAAAAUAAAAUAUACUUGCAGAAAGUCUUUCAAACUCUGACAAAAACUUGCAAAUUAAGGACAUGGAUUUUA
rnacentral:lncRNA from 1 species